rnacentral:misc_RNA from 1 species
AAAGUUUGUUGGGAUCAUGCAUGGUGAUUAAUUCAUCACAUGAGGUCGGUAAAGGUUGUUAUAGGUCCAAAUAAGCUUUUGAGGAAAAAGUUUUUAGCCUUUCUACUGCUUUGUGCCAUGUUCUCAUGAGAGAGGAAUCGUCAUAAUUCAUUUCUUGUUUAUUUUCCAUAAAAUUUCUUUAUAUUUAUUUAUGAAGAUUUAGAAGCAUGGUAGUGGUUUGGGGAGUGGGGACCUUUUAAUUAUGUGUAUAUUUGCCUGGUUUGAAAUUCACAGUGUAGUAAAUUUUAAGGUGCAAGUAUGAAUGUGUUGCAAAUAGACCGGAUGGCAAGAUGCAUUUGUUUGUGGAGAUAUUUUUAGGCAUUUUGUGUGAACUAACUUCCUUAGAAUUUGGGACAUGGGUAGGGUUAUUAUGAUCACUAUGGUCUGAUUGCCCUCAUGUGUGUAAGUUUGAAAUAUGUGAAUAGAAUUUUGUAAGAAUUUACAGCGGAUCAUGAUGAUAUACUUAUGUGUUAAUUAUACAUAUUUUAAUGUCAGUGAUUGAUUAACCAACUCUGAAGAGAGAAAGGGAAAUGUGUUUGGCUUGUCAAGCUGUGUCUGCACUUCAUUGCCUGGUUUUUCAGGGCUUUUUUCUUCUUUUCUUUUUCUCCCCUUUUUCAGUGUGGAGAAAAGGAAAAAUAUAAGAUAUUUAAGCAUGUUACAUAAUCUGGGGGAGGCAGGAAUGGAUGAUGAAAAUCAUAAUAAGAUUGGAAGAAGACAAAUAUUCUCUCGCUCAACUUUUUGCGAAAAUCCAGAAUGCACUAUCCUAAUAUGUCUUGACCUCCCAUUUUUGCACCCUGUAACACAAUGAAAAAGAACCUUGUUUAUUUCCUAUAAUUGUUAGGGGCCUUAAGGCCUCCUUACUAAGUCAUUUUGAUGAAUUCCUAUAUAAGAAUGUGUAAGUAAAGUUUCAACAGCAGAGAAUUGUUGUCUUCCUAUGCUUUUAAAUUUCCAAUCUUGUAAAGAUGAGUGAUUCAGUUUCAAUGAGGCAUUGUGAAAUUGGAUGUUCAGAAAGUGUAAUUUUGGCAAUUUUUUAAAGCUCUUGGUGAUUUAUUUAGUUGCAGUGAAGGUUUGCUUUUUUGCUUUAUUCAACAUUUUUGUGCGCUUUAUUUGUCAAGCAGGGUUUCCGGAAGGUUGAUCCAG